rnacentral:rRNA from 1 species
AGAAUCAACGCUGGCGGCGUGCCUAACACAUGCAAGUCGAACGAGAAAGUGGAGCAAUCCAUGAGUAAAGUGGCGACCGGGUGAGUAACACGUGACCAAUCUACCCUUGAGUGGGGGAUAACCUCGGAAACCGGGGCUAAUACCGCAUAAUAUCCUCGGAACGGAAGUACUGGGGAUCAAUGGAGCAAUUCGCUUGAAGAGGGGGUCGCGGCUGAUUAGCUAGUUGGCGGGGUAAUGGCCCACCAAGGCUUUGAUCGGUA